UCUAAGGAUGAGUGAAAGUAAAAUUUCACUCUAAAUAAUAUACAUCGGUAAUGUUGACCGUCCUCAUUUCUCUUCUUAAAGUAAUGUUUCCUUCUUGUAGGGCCGGUAGCUCAGUUGGUUAGAGCACACCCUUGAUAAGGGUGGGGUCGAAAGUUCGAGUCUUUCUCGGCCCACCAAUAACUCAAUGGGGGAUUAGCUCAUCUGGGAGAGCGCCUGAUUUGCAUUCAGGAGGUAGCAGGUUCGAUCCCUGUAUCCUCCACCAGGAAACAUUUAGUUAUUAAAACUGUAAAUAAAAAUAAUUUAUAUCAAUAUCUAUAUCCGAACAUUAAAAGUUAUUAUUUAAUGUUCAAAAUAAAAAUUUGAUCACAACAUAGACAAAUUUUCUGUAAAAAGAAUUUUUUUCUGUGCAUAAAU
rnacentral:tRNA from 1 species